GCUCCUGUUUUUUGGUUGAGUCUAUUUUAUUUUAUUUAUUUAUUUAUUUAUUUUUUUUUUGAAGCUCCUGGUUUUUGGUUGAACUCGUUUUCUUGCUUAUACAACUUUAUUUGCUUUGGCAAAGCUUACAUGAACAUUCUGGGCGGGGCUUAAGGACGAAUGGUAAGUAAUCUUCACAAAAUUACACCGUUUAGGAGCUACUAAAGUGUCCACCGUGUUUCAAAGAAGACAUCUUACUCAACUUAUGACGACAGUCAUAUUUUGUCUGCCACAAUCCCCGGUAGCAUAUUGUGGUAGCUAAUGUUAGCACUAGGUAAAGUUCAUAAACUAGGCUUGUGUAGUAUUCGCCUAUCUUUAUGUUGAAUUCGUUAACCAGCGCACCUCUGUCUAGUUGCAUUAAGCGUGGAAAGUACCAAAUGUAUCUGGAGGAAAUAUGUGUUAAAAACUGUUGUGUAAUCCUCCAUGUGUGUGUGUGUGUAUUAACUAGCAUUGAAGCUAAAAUGGGAAAACCGGAUCGAUGCACCAAUGUUAUUAGGUCCACGUUAAUCUGCACCACAUGUCAAGUGACUGUGCAGAUUAUUUAUUUACCAAGCACAUAAUCUGUGUUGUCGAUGAGGGGAGGCAAUCUAACUCUUAAAUAUAUAUAUUUUCUUCCAGAUGUAAAAUGUAAAACUAAGCCGGUAGGUCACAGGCCGAAGGAGGAUAUUCACAUAAUUUCUGUGUUUUUUAUUAUUUGGUGUGUAUGUGUUUUGUACUUAGUUUUAUUGCGAAUUAGAUGUAUUGCUGUGUUAUGAUAUUAAAUUAAAUUGGUGUUCUCCUAAUUCCCCAUUCUAGUAUGACCAGCAGAGUGCAGCUGAAGCAGGACAGGCUUGUAGGGAUUACUGAUUCCUCCAGCGGCUAGAGACGAUCAGAACGUGAGGAUGGAGAGACCAGCAAGUGGUCAAUAGAAUCGGAACAAAAAAAUAGAGUAAAUCAUAACAGAGUAAAACAAGAACACGCCCACUGAAGUUCCUUAAGUUUCGUUUCUUCCACCAUCUUGUUAUCCCGCAUUGGAACGGAGGCGACGGUUAGCUGUGUGCCAGGAUGCAAGCUGUGCGUGUCAAAUACAGAGAUCGACAGAAAUACAUCUGUUUUGAAGGCCAACUGACUUACAGUUCUUUUUUGGAAUGUGGUG